UUUUGAAUGCUUACUAAGCGUUGUGGAAUCACCGACAGUGUUGUGCAAUCGUCACUGCUCAGUUUUUUCUGUUUCGAUUUCAUUUCUGCGUGCCUGUUAAAGUUUUGGGGCAUAGGUUUCGGUGAAGAUUUGAGGGGGAACGUGUGCUAUGAGUAUACUUUUGUUUGAUGAUUCAUCAGGACAUUGGAUUUCGGGCGAUAGAGUUUUAUGUUCUGUUUUGUGGGCAUGGUGGUGGCUUAUAAUUCCACGUUUUCUUUUUUCCAUAGAAAUGGCUCGGAGAUUUGGGUAUCGAGGAGUUGGAACUGUAGAUGUGGUAGCACUGAUCAAUUCGGCAGACUAAUGUUAGGGUUUACAACGCUGCCUGUAAGAACACUACCUUGAAGGUGGAGCACAAUUCAGCUGUUUUGGAAUUACUAUGCAUGGAUGUACUGCGCGUGCUACAAUGACCAGACUGUAUCCGUGACUUGAAACUUUUAGGUCGACAGUUGCUGUGAAGGAGACUCGUUUGGGUUGUUCACUAUGUUUUCUGAUCACUGUGUGCGAAUGCACUAGUAUACAGCCAUUUAAAAUCGACAUGUUUUUCGUUCCAGGAAAGGUUUGGCGGACUGUGAAGUUUGUUUGUCUCGCUGCGAUUGAACGCCUCCCAAAGAAAGUUUAUUGUUGGUUAGUGAAGAUAUGACUUGGUCAACCAGAGUUUAACCUCGGGGCUUUAUCAUCACAACCAACGGUGCGCCGCUGUGCCCACAGAGCGGUAAGUAAACCCAAAGCUAAGUGAAGAAUGAUCACGAUAUCAGGGCUCCGAGCCUGUGCGGCCACCAACUUCUUGCGGAGAUUUACGAAUCCGUAGUUGAUGUUGGAAGCAGAUUUUUGUUUUAGGGGAUGUUCUUCGCAAGAGGUUCCUAUAGUUGCGGUUGUAGCCAUAGGUAGGACAUUGUUGUCAAAUACUUCUGGCAACAUUGCCACACCUGAUUGCCACCCAAGAAAUAGGGAAACAAUUUGUUCAUUCACAUCUAUGCGGAACAGGUAUUCUACGCGAUUAUACAAGAAGGGUUUUCGGCAGAGCUUAA